UAGUUUAAGGAAGUAAUCUUAAAUGUAUUCUGCCCAAUGGAUUUUUUAAAUGGCCGCAGUACCUUGACUGUGCUAAGGUAGCAUAAUCAAUUGGCUUCUAAUUAAAGUCUGGAAUGAAAGGAAAAAUGAAGUAAUUCUGUCUUAAAAAAUUUUUUUUUAAUUUAUUUAAAUGAUGAAAAUAUCAUUUUUUAGAAAAAAGACGAGAAGACCCUUAGAGUUUUUAUUAUUUUUUUUUGUUGGGGCGACAAGUAAACAAUUUAAACUUUACUAAUUUUUUUUAAUCGAUUUAAUAAUAAGAUAAAUUAAACUACCUUAGGGAUAACAGCAUUAUAUUAUAUAUGAUUGUGACCUCGAUGUUGGACUAGGAACUUUAUGGCUAGCCGUCAUAAAAGAUUUGUUCUGUUCGACCAAUUUUAUCCUAC
rnacentral:rRNA from 1 species